UCCUCAGCUACUUGAAUCCUUACCUGUCCCUCCUUACAGAAGGCAGAUAAAAAAAAUGGAGUUCCCAUGACAUUGGGAUCAGCAUCUCUGGAUAGCCAGGGCUCACAGCAUCCUCCUUUCUCCUUUCUGUG